AGCACUUCCAGGUUUUCCCUGCCAGAGCCACCCAGUAAGAGGUGGGCUGUAUCAGAGGGAGUUGGGAAGAUAAAUACGCCUGCACCAGCCACAGCCUCACUUCUCUAUGACGAUGACAUCACACCUAGAUAUAUACUGCAGAUCCUGCAGACAGAGUCGGAGACAUCCCUUCUGGUUCAGGACCGGCCAGUCCGGAAGGAGCCAGAGCUUCCCUCCACAAACUCCAGUCUUCACAGCAACCGCCCAAGGUAUGCUGACAGACAAGGACGAUAUCCUCAGAGGUGCACUCAGGACACACAGCCCUCUGCAUUAUUGGUGUGGUGAUGUUUGUGCGUUCACACCUUGUUUUUGUUUGUGCCUCCUAGUACAGGGCUGUCUGAGUUGGAUCUCCCUGACAUGACCACCACAGUAAACCUGUCAAAUACGGUGAAGGGACUAAGCAGGAAGCGACCAUGUCGGAGUCUCAACAUAACAGCAUUCAACAGGCAGCUUGAACAUGAAGAUGGAGAAGGUGGCAGUGCAACAGAAAAAUACCUCUCAUCCCUGUCUUCUGCCUCUCCAAGCUCUAUCACCUUCUCUCUGAAAACAUCCUUUGUGGACAUUCGGACUGAGAAAAGGAGAUUUCAAAGGAAGGUAGCAAAUGGUAAAAAUAUUUGCCUUGAGGAGUUUGACGAGGCCCUACGGAAUCGACAGGCGGCAAUGGGUGGAGACCCUGAGCUGAGUGUUAGGGAGGAUCAGCAGGGUCUCAGUGAGACCGUUCGUUCUGAGGGGUUCACCUUGGGACUGAGUGACCUCACCGCUCCUGACAUCACCCAUGACAUCAUCACCAGCAAAACAGAGCUCUAUGCCCCACCUGAUGACACAGCAACAACCUUCACUAUCGCCAGCCAGGACAAAGACACCAUCAUAGGCACACAGAUCCAGCGAGAAAUGGGAGGAAUGAAGGAUGAGGAGGAGAAAGAUAUGGAGGUGGUAGGGGAACAAAAGGAGUACAAGAUGGAAAUAGACAACAAAGAUGGAGAGGAUUUGGCUGUUGAUGCUGGGCAGAGAGAGGCCUUGGUGAGACAGGAGGAGUCCAAAUCACAGACCGAAGAGGUAGCUGACUCCCGGACAGGAGAAGAUGAGGAGCUGGCUAAAUCUCAAACAGAAGGAGAGGUAGCCGAGUCUCCGACAGAAGGAGAGGUAGCCGAGUCUCCGACAGAAGGAGAGGAGGAGGAGAUGACUGAAUCUCAGACAGAAGAUGUAGCAGAUGAAGGGAGACAGGUAGUGGAAAAAGGCUUGACAUCACAGAGUUUAGUACACAACGCGAUGCGCAUCAGUCGGAGAGCUUAUUGCUCAGAGGGUGGUGUCAAGGUUGCUGGAGUGAUGGAAGGAGGGAGGGGCUACAAGAGCAUGGGAGCAGAGCUCCAUCCUACAGAGACUGUUGAGUCAGGGUGUGCAGGCAGAAGGUCAGAGGGGGACACUGCUGGUGAGUGGCACAGCGGGCCGGAGGUGGGAGCUAGUGAGAGCGCCCACACCCACACAGUAACCCUUGGCAGCGCCCCUCCCUCCCCAUUGCCCCAGGAAGAUGAGCUGGAAGGUUUGAGUAGAACAGGCACCAGCCUUGGAAAUGAGGAGAUGGAGAACUCCAUGCCUCCUUUAGAGAUGACCUUUGAACCUGAGAACAAUGCCCCUCAUAGUAGCAUUUCAUCCCUGCACCCCAUCACUGCCCAGAGCCCAGCUGACCAUGAGGAGGACUGGGAUGAUGUGGAAGAGGGGGAUGGUAUCCAGAGUGAAGAGCUGUCCAUGAAGACACCUGCGUUUGUCAGAGAGAAGAGAAAUGCUCUGCCUAUUGACCCCCUGGCCACACCCACUAUUCUCAAAGACCUUCAACCAAGUGUUUCGGCUGGUGCUGCAGCUGCGGUGAAGCCCAAAGCGGUGAGGGGAAAGCGGACUGGAUAG
rnacentral:lncRNA from 13 species